rnacentral:rRNA from 1 species
UACGGGGGGGGGCAAGCGUUGUUCGGAAUUACUGGGCGUAAAGGGCUUGUAGGUGGCCAACUAAGUCAGACGUGAAAUCCCUCGGCUUAACCUGGGAACUGCAUCCGAUACUGGAUGGCUUGAAUCCGGGAGAGGGAUGCAGAAUUCCAGGUGUAGCGGUGAAAUGCGUAGAUAUCUGGAGGAAUACCGGUGGCGAAGGCGGCAUCCUGGACCGGCAUUGACGCUGAUGAGCGAAAGCUAGGGGAGCAAACAGG